ACCAUGCAGGAGCUGUGGAGAUUAACGGU
rnacentral:piRNA from 1 species